UUUCGUCCACUGCUGUGUCUCUUUAUUCGCCUCCUGGGAUGUCCUUGUGAGCAUUUCGAGCAUGCCGUCAUCUCUGGAGCUCUUCUUUUUCCUACGUAGAUUGGAUGAGUAUUUGCUUAACGACAAUAGCAGCCCUGUCCUUAGUUGCCAUGAGUUGUCAGCUGUUGGGGGGAAGGAGAAAAUGAGCUAUUGUAAGAAUGAUGCUUUCAUGCCAACUGGAACAAAGAGCUUGGGUUGUUGCCCCUUCCCCCUUUGUUUUAGCUUUCUGGUUUUUCCCAGUCUUGGAGACAGCAGGACAAUUUCAAAAUCCUCUGCCCCUGAAGAAUUAGGGAUAUCACUACCUUACUAAGAGAAGUUUAGAAAAAUUCAGUGCAAAGCAGACUAAUAUCUGCAUCUGUUCUUACAGAGCAUGUUGUGGCAAAGGGAAAACAAUGGUACGUGCAGAGGCACGGUAUUUUUAUUCACACUGAUACUGGCUGUCUGUACUUGAGCAGGUAUCCAUUUUCCAGAAGACACUGGACAAACUGAGCUGUUGCACUGGAGUGGAAGGACACCGCUGGCUCCAAGUGGUACAAUCUGUGAAAUAUUCUUCCUGCUACAAAAAGUUGGAAUGCAUGGCCAUCCCUGCGGCGUGAGCCAUGUUUAUGACAAGCUUUCAGAAAGAUAAUAUUUCACAUUAUACUGAGAAUUAUACUGCUGUGUGCACUGUGACCCAAGAGUGACAAGGAUGUGAAUCCUGUGCAUUGCUGACCUCGCCUGGGCUGACUCAGACUCUCAAACCUCAGACCUCAUUGCAGAGAACAAUUGCAUCUACAAAGACAUCAGAGGGGCAGUGGCAGGUGGUACAAGAUAGAGCAUUCACUGGAAAGCUGUGAAGUAGCAGCAUGAGACUGCAGAUGAAAUGGCAACUUCACUCCUCAGAAUAAACAUACGUUGGGACACCCAAGUAGGAGACUAGUUUGGCAUGGGAGGAAGAAAACCUGGCUUUAGAAGAGGAGUUCAGACAGGAAGCAGCAAUAUUCCAAGAAGAUUUCCGAGUCAAACAGGAGAGGAACUGGCUUCUUGAAGAGCAUAUUGCAGAGAUUCCCUAAAACAUUCAGCUGCACAGCUGGAGCAGGGGAAGAGCACAGACCUGCUGACAGUCACCGGAGUAACUCAGGGCAGUGGCUGUGCACAGGGGUGAGGCUGGGCGCUGCUGGGAGCCCACGGGGCAGAUGGCUGGCAGAGCCUUGUUGGUCAGCCCUGCUGGUUCUUGCUUGUGUUGCCAUUGUGCGGUGAGGUAAGAGUAUCUGCUCAUAUCCUUUUACAUUGCCUGCGCUGGCUGAAUAUGAGAAAGCAAGGGAGAGAGGGUCUCUCCUCAAGGGGUCUUUCCAGGAUUGUGCUUGUAGGUAUCAUUGCAUUCCCCUUUCAUUUUUCAGGAUGUUUUUAUCUUUUGUUUUAUAUCAUAUAGUUCCAAGUUCAGUAUCUUUUGGAGGUGAGAAACUGCUGCUGUGUUCAAGGUCUUUUCAAGUGUUAAAACAACCAUUGGCAUUGCCAUUCUUUCAAAGUGUGCCUACUUUUGACAUCCAUAUUGCUCUUCUGCAUUUUUGGUUCUCUGCCAUUGCUGAGUUUGUUCAUAAAAGUCAUAAAAGUCAGGAGAAUAUCUAAAUCCAGUGUUGUAAACCUUCUCUUUGGCUUCUGGGGGAGGGGUGGGGAUGUUGGUGUGGUUUGGUUUUCCUUGUUUUUGUUUUUUGUAACUCCUGAAGCAUGUUGUGGUCACAUUCUCAGUAGAAGGAGCCCUUCAGAUAUGCUAUCUGUGUGGUGUCUGCUCGCUGCGCCAGGAGGGGAGCUCCCAGCCUUGCAAACAGCAGGUGGGUUUGUGGUCUUUUUCACUUGAGAUUUAAGCAGACGAAUCUGUGUCCUGCUCUGGAAGAGACAAUAGGUGUAAGCUGGACUGUUGCACAUCCUUCCUCAAGCCCACUCUUGUGGCCUUGGGGCGUUUUUAUCCUGCUUGUCAACAAACAAACACUGCUCAGUGGGAUGAGAGAUCAGGGUGAGGGUGAAGGACAAAUGAGGCAACUGGUAAAGCCUUAUUUACAGGCAGGUAACCUUCCUUACACAUUUCUCCUUGAUCCAGGCCUUAUCUCUUUAGAAAAGCUCAAUUUAUCCUAAGCUAAUGGCAACAUUAGCUCGUGGUUGCCUUGAGACUGUGUAUAUUGAGCUGAGAUGACUGAAGAACCAAAGUGGCUCAUGAAGUCGAGGACAGUAGCCUGCAGCGAUGAUGGCAGCAAGGUGAUUGUAUUACAGGUUGUGUAGUGUUUGCUCACCCUUCAUACAUCGUUCUGUUUUCUUGCACAUGUCUAUGGAGUUGCUGAAGGGAAAUGAAGGGUGCUUUUCAUUGUCUUGAGACUCAGUGUGAGUAACACCGCCCCGUUAAUCAUGGUUCCCUGGAGAAACUGAGCUGCUUAAGGUCCAAACCACCACCAGAUGGCAGCUGAAGUUCAAAUAUGAGAUGGGCCCAAGGUCCCUGCAGAGGACUGCCAGACAGGGGAACUUUGUGGUCCUUGAAUUGGGAAGAUAAAAAAAAAAAUGUGAGUAAUUGGCAUAGUGCAGGCAGCGUUGGAAAGUCCCUAACUGAUGGGUGAGUGGGGGAACUAACGUCUUAGUGCUGCAAGAGUUCCUUCAUUCUAUCAGAUAACUUCUUAGCAUACUUUCCUUUACAUUACAAGCAAUACAUCACUGCUUUGUCCCAAGAGGCUGAAACACUCUGUGUGUGCCUCUUAUCCUGGUCACGCACCAGUGCUCAGAAAUGUUGACUUAAAAUGCUUUGUUUAAUCAAGAUAAAAUUCAGAGCAGACGUUUCCAGUUCACUUUUACUGAAAUAGAUGCUGCGGUAACUUCCAGAAGAAACCACAAGACUGAAUACUUGCAUGCCUUUUUGGUUUUGCUUUCUUUUUAUAUCUCCCCACCUCCACAGCUCCCCUGGAUGCAGAGAUUGCAUUGCUUCCUCAGGUAGGCUUUGCUUUUGUGUCUGGAAAGUUCGACUCAAGUAACCCAAGUUGCUGGAAAUCUGCCUGUUACAGCUGAGAAUGAAUGCAUAAGGCUGUUAAAGUCUCAUAAAUCAGCUCCAUAAAGUGGUUACAGGGCAAAAAUUGUGCCUUAUGUGAAACAAAGAAUGGUACUGUGCUAUUGGUUUGCAGGUUUGUUCUCUCAGCAGAAGGAAAACCUGAACUGGGCAGAGAGAGGAUGAAGCCCUCCUGCGCAUCCUUCAGAGGCACCACAAGCAACAGGAGCAGCUUCCUACUGGCCCAGCACAGAGGACACACAGAUCAGAGGAGCCAGGAACCAGAGAGAGCGGGCACCCAGGGAUGAAGCCAGCCACGAGAAGAGCAACAGGCAGAGGAAAAAGCAAAAAGAGACUAAAAGGAAGGGAAGGUAAUGCUCUGGACAGAGUCCACAGGAUUGACUUAUCCCAUGUUUACGUUAUACUAACUGAACCAGUACAGCAAUUGCUUCCCUUGCUGUUUGAAAUGGGUGAUGGUGCCUGAUUAGAUGCUGCCUGUUUGUUACAGGCUAAUAUAGAA